GCAAGAGGGUGUGUCGAUGAUGGCAGCGAAACAGCAACGGGGAGGAGAUGAUGAAUUGAUUGAGCAGAUUUGAAAGUCCCAAAUGGGAAGACAGCUGUGUCUUAUUCAGGAAUACGGAGCAGAGGCCAGAAAGGAAUUAGCGGUCUGUAGCGUUUCCCAUGCACGUGUUAAUUAGACGUGUUUGUGUAUCGAGAGCAGAAAGAGGCUCCUGUAACAUACAGCAGAGCCGAGGGGUAUGUUUCUGCAGAUGUGAAUUGUUACAGAAUCGUCGGUAAUCUACUUCAAAUGACUCUCGUGUGGAUUAUGAGCGAAGCUGUUCCCCUGAGAGCCGCAGCGGGAGCCGACACCCUCGACACGGCUUCAUUCGUCAGAGAGGGGAGCGAGAGUGACCCGCAAAACGGUCUGCUCGAGAUAAAACCUGGCGACUUCUGCCAAUUGAAGUGAAUUCCUCUGGUAGAAUUUCUACAGGCCCAAUCAGCAGUUUACACUCCAGACCAGAUGGUGGCGGUAAUGCACACUUGGUGCUUUCAGGGUCCUGUGAUGGACUGGUGACCUGUCCAGGG